AGAAACUCAACCAAAUGGUAAGAGUGAAGCACGCUGCAAAAAGAGCGGAGUCAGCAAGGUCCCUACUCAACUUCGGGGGCUGUAGCCCGCUAAGCCCACUGUCGGCACAUGCUGACGGUAUCGGGUCACAGUCCUCUCAACAAGAAGAAGCUGAAGUGGAAGAA
rnacentral:ribozyme from 1 species